rnacentral:rRNA from 1 species
AUUGAACGCUGGCGGCGUGCCUUACACAUGCAAGUCGAACGGUAACGGGCCUUCGGGUGCCGACGAGUGGCGAACGGGUGAGUAAUGCAUCGGAACGUACCUUUCAGUGGGGGAUAACGUAGCGAAAGUUACGCUAAUACCGCAUAUUCUGUGAGCAGGAAAGCAGGGGAUCGCAAGACCUGGCGCUGAGUGAGCGGCCGAUGUCAGAUUAGCCAGUUAGUGAGGUAAAGGAUCACCAAGGCGACGAUCUGUAGCGGGUCUGAGAGGAUGAUCCGCCACACUGGAACUGAGACACGGUCCAGACUCCUACGGGAGGCAGCAGUGGGGAAUUUUGGACAAUGGGGGCAACCCUGAUCCAGCCAUGCCACGUGAGUGAAGAAGGCCUUCGGGUUGUAAAGCUCUUUCGGUCGGGAAGAAAUCGCAUGGGUUAAUACCCUGUGCGGAUGACGGUACCGGCAUAAGAAGCACCGGCUAACUACGUGCCAGCCGCCGCGGUAAGAC